rnacentral:rRNA from 1 species
GACAGAGGUCCCGAGCGUUAGGCGGAAUCACUGGGCUUAAAGCGUGUGUAGGCGGAUUGGUAAGUACCUUGUGAAAUCCCACGGCUUAACCGUGGAACUGCUUGGUAUACUGCUUAUCUUGGGCCACUUAGGGGCUACCGGAACAAACGGUGGAGCGGUGAAAUGCGUAGAUAUCGUUUGGAACGCCAAUGGUGAAAACAGGUUGCUGGGGAUAUGCUGACGCUGAGACACGAAAGCCAGGGGAGCAAACGGG